rnacentral:pre_miRNA from 1 species
AUUACCUGGGGAUCUUGUUAAAAUGCAGAUUCUCAUUCAGUAGACAUGGUGGGGGGCCUAAGAUUCUGCAUGUCUAACGAGUUCCCAGGUGAUGCCCA